AUUGAACGCUGGCGGAAUGCUUUACACAUGCAAGUCGAGCGGCAGCACGGGGGCAACCCUGGUGGCGAGCGGCGAACGGGUGAGUAAUACAUCGGAACAUGCCCAGUCGUGGGGGAUAACACUUCGAAAGAAGUGCUAAUACCGCAUACGUCCUGAGGGAGAAAGCGGGGGAUCUUCGGACCUCGCGCGAUUGGAGUGGCCGAUGUCAGAUUAGCUAGUUGGUGGGGUAAAGGCCUACCAAGGCAACGAUCUGUAGCUGGUCUGAGAGGAUGGUCAGCCACACUGGGGCUGAGACACGGCCCAGACGCCUACGGGAGGCAGCAGUGGGGAAUUUUGGACAAUGGGGGCAACCCUGAUCCAGCCAUUCCGCGUGAGUGAAGAAGGCCUUCGGGUUGUAAAGCUCUUUCGGCAGGAACGAAACGGUGAGCUCUAACAUAGCUUGCUAAUGACGGUACCUGAAGAAGAAGCACCGGCUAACUACGUGCCAGCCGCCGCCGUAAUAC
rnacentral:rRNA from 1 species